rnacentral:rRNA from 1 species
AGCAGCCGCGGUAAUUCCAGCUCCAAUAGCGUAUAUUAAAGUUGUUGCAGUUAAAAAGCUCGUAGUUGAAUUUCGGAAUCUGUCCAUCGGUCGGGCUUCACUGUCCGUACUGGUGUGGUGGGUUCUUACCUUCUGAAUAACCAGCAUGCCAUUAAUUUGGUGCGUUGGGGAAGCAGGACUAUUACCUUGAAAAAAUUAGAGUGCUCAAAGCAGGCCAGUGCCUGAAUACAUUAGCAUGGAAUAAUAAAAUAGGACGGCAUGGUUCUAUUUUGUUGGUUUCUAGGAUCACCGUAAUGAUUAAUAGGGAUAGUUGGGGGCAUUAGUAUUCAAUUGUCAGAGGUGAAAUUCUUGGAUUUAUUGAAGACUAACUUCUGCGAAAGCAUUUGCCAAGGAUGUUUUCAUUAAUCAAGAACGAAAGUUAGGGGAUCGAAGACGGUCAGAUACCGUCGUAGUCUUAACCAUAAACUAUGCCGACUAGGGAUCGGACGAUGUUAAUUUUUUAAUGACUCGUUCGGCGCCUUACG